rnacentral:rRNA from 1 species
UACAGAGGUCCCAAGCGUUGUUCGGAUUCACUGGGCGUAAAGGGUGCGUAGGUGGUGAGGUAAGUCGGAUGUGAAAGCUCGGAGCUCAACUCCGAAAUGGCAUUGGAAACUACCUCGCUCGAGGGUUGGAGGGGGGACUGGAAUGCUUGGUGUAGCAGUGAAAUGCGUAGAUAUCAAGCGGAACACCAGUGGCGAAGGCGAGUCCCUGGACAACUCCUGACACUGAGGCACGAAAGCUAGGGGAGCAAACAGG